CCUUCUCCCAAGAUCUCUCCUCUUUAUGUAGUCGUCCGGGGUGCUCAUUCGGGAAGGGAGAAGAGAUACGAACUGCUGAUUUCGGGGCGUGAUGUUGGAGGGCAAAUCGCGGACGAAGAGGGAGAAUGGCUGGAUCUCGGGAGGAAGGCGUGAUCCGUGGAGUGCCAGAUUGAUUGUAGAUGGCCGGAUCAAUGGAGCUGGCGACGGGAGGCUGAUGCGCAAACGGAAGAACAUGAGAUGGCCGCGGGAUCGAUGGGAGGCUGAUGCGUGAACGUCUGGAUCUCGGAGAAGACGGAGACGGAGCUAGAGACAGAUGCCGACGGCUGGAAUCGCGGAGGAGUGAUUGCUGGCUGCACCGGCAGAUGGCGGAAUACCCGGGGAUGAAGAUGAUGCCGUGAAUCUCGGCUGCUGGGAGGGGCUGAUCGGAGGAUCGAUGGGAGGACGCCGUGGACGGCCGUGAUGCGCAGCGGGA
rnacentral:lncRNA from 1 species